CGGGGUAUAGCGCAGUCUGGUAGCGCAUCUGCUUUGGGAGCAGAGGGUCGGCGGUUCGAAUCCGUCUACCCCGACCA
rnacentral:tRNA from 2 species